rnacentral:rRNA from 1 species
GAUGAACGCUGGCGGCGUGCCUAAUACAUGCAAGUCGAGCGAAUGGAUUAAGAGCUUGCUCUUAUGAAGUUAGCGGCGGACAGGUGAGUAACACGUGGGUAACCUGCCCAUAAGACUGGGAUAACUCCGGGAAACCGGGGCUAAUACCGGAUAACAUUUUGAACCGCAUGGUUCGAAAUUGAAAGGCGGCUUCGGCUGUCACUUAUGGAUGGACCCGCGUCGCAUUAGCUAGUGGGUGAGGUAACGGCUCACCAAGGCAACGAAGCGUAGCCGCCGUGCGAGGGUGAACGGCCACACGGGGACUGGGACACGGCCCCGACUCCUACGGUAGGCAGCAGUAGGGAAUCUUCCGCAAGGGACGAAAGUCCGACGGGGCAACGCCGCGUGAGUGAUGAAGGCUUUCGGGUCGUAAAACUCUGUUGUUAGGGAAGAACAAGUGCUAGUUGAAUAAGCUGGCACCUUGACGGUACCUAACCAGAAAGCCACGGCUAACUACGUGCCAGCAGCCGCAGUAA